rnacentral:rRNA from 1 species
GCCGGAAUUGCUAGUAAUGGCAGGUCAGCAUACUGCCGUGAAUACGUUCCCGGGCCUUGUACACACCGCCCGUCACACCAUGAGAGUUGGAAAUACCCGAAGCCUGUGAGCUAACCGUAAGGAGGCAGCAGUCGAAGGUAGAGUCAAUGAUUGGGGUGAAGUCGUAACAAGGUAAC